GUGAUGCUAGGCCCCUUCUCUCCAAGUCGUGCGUUCCAAAUUCGGACAGACAGUAGGCGAUACACUCCUGCAGCAUAACUGGAUUUAACAGUGUGGGGCUCUGUCCUCGAAUGAAGGGGAAGAUAAUAUCGAUUUUCUUUUUCAAUUGGUUUAAUCUUCGCGGUUUGGACAGUAGAAGCCUAAUGGAGCGAAUGAAAGCCAGCGUUUUUAUUUAGAACUGUCUACAUAGCAGGACCAGGUUUACAAGGCUACUUAUACUGACUUACUUUAGUUUAAGAUGUCUUCGUCUGCAACUACAACUAUUCGACCUACACUGACAGCGGAUCAGAUAACGGUCAUCGUGGCCUCGGUGUCCUGCCUGGCGUUCUUCGUAGUGAUUCUCUUGCUCCUGGUGGUCCUGUACAGGAAAGACCUUCUCUGCCGCCGUGUGGAGCUACCAGGCCACCCAACACUAUACAGACGCUCCACCCCAGUACAACAUCAGACAGUCUCUAGUAGGGUAUCCCUAUGAUGAACAGACUGUUGCCAUGACCCACGGAAAUGUGGGGUCCCAGCUUCCAGGAAGGCUGUUUAUCAUCGGUAAGCCGAGCAGCUACCACCUGGAUGGGCCCUGCCCCGCCUGCCAUCCUAUGAGAACGUCCGUAAGAAGGACCGCCAGAGACAGAUCCACUCCAUGAUAGCCGACCGCUUUGGGCUCAGCCCCACACAGUUUGAAACGGCGCCUCCUCCGACAUAUGAGGAGACUGUUCGCCAGUCCAUGGUCAUUUCCUCUGAAGAUCUAGUCUGUGGAGACAUUUCCCUCAGACCUCCCUCUCUCCCCCUCUAGCCUUGAACACACAGGGACAAUAGAGGCAGCUCCCUCACCUCACUAGCCUAUUUAGAACCCCAUUCGGGAAUCCCUCUCUGUCUAGAUCAGGGGCUCCUUGAGGACAGGAGCACGACUGGUUUUCAACUCAGCAAUUUAACCAGACUAACUUUCACACCAUUGGCAAGAGGAAAGAAGAAAUAUCAACAAAGAAAGUGACAUUGUCAUGAUAAUGCAUGACUCAGUUUCACUCAGUUUGUGAUCCUGAGACCACUCUCGGCUCUGACCGUCAUCAGUUGGAGUAGCGAGUGGUUUAAACAUGACUGUACACUGUAAAUGGCUUGAUAUCCUGCCACUGGCAAUGAUAUCAUUCAUCAGUUAUAUCAGGGGUGUCAAACAUGCGACCUGCGGGUUGGAUCCGGCCCGCAACUCCAUUCAAUCCGGCCCACUGGUUGUUUGAGUAAAAGAAAAUAUCUGGGGAAACACUUUCAAUUGACAUUGAAAUGACUAAAACAAAAUCUAAACUGUGUAGAAAUUAUAAUGGACAUACUUUUAUAGUCUCUUCACUCUGUCCAGCUUGUGAAAGCUUGACAGUCAGGGAGCAUCACAAAUUCAAAAAGUUAUUGAUAUAGGACUAUUUUUUGCACAUUAUGAUGGUGAGGAAAUAGAAUGGAUUUUAAAUGCGCCCUCUGGACCUCGGUGAAGACCAAAUGCGGCCCCUGGUGCAAAAUGAGUUUGACACCCCUGAGAUAAUCAAAUAAGCCUACAUUUCAAACUCUAGACAUGCUCCAGUGUGUGGAAAGGUGACAUCUGCACCUCAGCAGCAGACAUCUGAUGCUUCAUCACAAUGUUCAAAGUCGUAGACAACCACAAAACAAUGACAUUGUCUCGGGUUGAACGUGUUAAUGAAAAAUCAAAAUCCCCUUGUUACAAAAGAACACUGAGCUAUGAAUACUUAGCUACCUAACAUGUACUGAUAUCUUUGCGUGUAGGGCCAGACCAGAGAGCUGUUGUGGUUGAAUGCAUCACAAAUUAUUAACACUACUGAGACAGACAAUGUAUGUGUACCAAAUGGCACCCUAAUUGUCAAAAGUAGUGCACUACAUAGGGAAUAGUGUGCCAUUUGGGAUGCAGAGUGUGUUCACUCAGGGACUGUUAAAUGAAAUAGCUGAACUAUGCACUUAAAUAAAAAAUAUUUGUAUUAACUUGA